GAAAGGGGUGAAGUGUUUCAGCCCAGUACACACCUCUAUUGUCCUUGGAAUGCCUGACAUCGCCUCCCUGCCUCAGGUUUUGUUUAUCCAACAAAACAAAUUUCCCUCUUUGCAUGGGCGAAAGGCUGCUCUUUCCUGCUUAGGCUAAUUUCUAUGGCAACAGAGGGACUGGAGAAUUACCAAGAAAGAAAGGGAAGAGGGAGCCAGAGUCGGGUGCUUGCAGAAACUUGUGGAGAUAACAGAGGCCAGACAUCCAUAUUGUUCAUGUCUGUGCACAUACAGGAAAUGCAAACCAACGUUGCUUCCUGUUGAACAUCCUUCAUUGGGGAAAAAGCUCCUCCAGACCUCCAAGAGUGCCAGUGCCUCACCAGCCAUCAACCUCACCGCACGUAAAAGAUGUCUUGUUCAACGAUCAGUAGCUCCAUUGUUGCAGUAAUUAUUUGAAACAGCAGAGGGCAGUGUUGCACAGAAUCACAGCAGCCUGCUGCAAAUCAGAUGGCUCCCCAGCCCUCCAUGAAUACAGAUCUCUAACGUGUUUGUGAUUUGUGGAAGACUGAGCCACACACACAAUUCCAGACUUAGUCACAUGCAUUCAAGGUUUAAUGGGAUUUGUGCUUCCAGGUUUGCCUGAAGAUCUCAAGGCACAUUCUCCCCACGUCAUGAUGUGAUUCAGUCUGAUUGUCUGCAGUUUUUCGAUCAAAGAGUUGUUAUUCCUUAUUAUCCGUUACACCACCCCCACCUUAUUCUUCCACUUACCCCCUCCAUCCUUUCAAGGGGGGCAAUGUGCUGUAAUUUCUUCCAGAUGCUGACUACUUCUUCUGUUCUCCCACACUAUGCUCUCACAGAGCGACGGAGACUCUUCUAGCUCUGUUCCUUCCUCGACAUAUUGGUCUUAGCACCAUAAUGUGACUUCAGAAGGUCAGUAAAGGAGGGGCUGGAGUGACCCUUCCCAAAGCUGAAAGGAAUGCAUGAGCGGGAAAUGUAUUUCCCAUGUUGCAUUGGGGUGUUUUUGUAAAGCAAGCACAUUUUUUGUUCUUUUGUACAGAUUGUUGUACAAUCUUUUGUUGUUUUUUUGAAAGCAUUGUAUCCCCCCUGUAAUAAAAGCCAGCUGGGGAGCACUGGGAACAUGGCGGUUUGGAGCUUUCCUGCCCAGGUGUUCCUCCCACACUUCCUUUAUCCUUCGUCUGAUCAAAUAAAAUCCACUAUACUG